rnacentral:rRNA from 1 species
CUGCGGAAGGAUCAUUGUCGAAACCUGCCAAGCAGGAUGACCCGAGAAGUAGUAUCAUCUAANGGUGAUGCAAGUCAGGCUUGCACUCAUCUUUGUCGGCUCGGCCCGCAUGUGGCGCGCGACCNAACGCAACUGUCUAGGCGGAGUGAGGGGUCAUAAUAGGCGUCUCCCUUCCCAGGCUCUCUGUGUUUUGGGAAAGCUCCUCACUUGCGAACCCCGAUUUCACCUAAACAUCCGGCACGGAAUGUGCCAAGGGAAAUCAGCGAAANGAGCAUGUCCUUGCGAAACACCAUCGGUGCGCUUCGAUCGAUAGGACACGCUCCAUNCAAAUAAUAAUGCAACGACUCUCGGCAACGGAUAUCUCGGCUCUCGCAUCGAUGAAGAACGCAGCGAAAUGCGAUACUUGGUGUGAAUUGCAGAAUCCCGUGAAUCAUCGAGUCUUUGAACGCAAGUUGCGCCCGAAGCCAUUAGGUUAAGGGCANGCCUGCCUGGGUGUCACGCACCGCGCUGCUCCCUAAUCCCCCUUNAAUGGGNGGGACCUUCGGGAACGAAUGCUGGCUUCCCGUGCAAACAAUGGCGCGGUUAGCUGAAAUACUAUAGUCCUUGGCGACGCGUCUCAUGACGAGUUGUGGAUAACAACGUCUCCUUCGGGUCGCCACACGACAAACUAUAAAGAUUCGUGGGACUNUGUUUACAUGAUGAA